rnacentral:rRNA from 1 species
GCGCGUAAAUUGCCCGAAUCCUGACACAGGGAGGUAGUGACAAGAAAUAACAAUACAGGGCUACUUUUAGUCUUGUAAUUGGAAUGAGUACAAUUUACAUCUCUUCACGAGGAUCAAUUGGAGGGCAAGUCUGGUGCCAGCAGCCGCGGUAAUUCCAGCUCCAAUAGCGUAUAUUAAAGUUGUUGCAGUUAAAAAGCUCGUAGUCGGAUUUCGGGGCGGGGCGACCGGUCUGCCGAUGGGUAUGCACUGGUCGGCGCGUCCUUCCUUCCGGAGACCGUGCCUACUCUUAACUGAGCGGGGGCGGGAGACGGAUCGUUUACUUUGAAAAAAUCAGAGUGUUUCAAGCAGGCGUCUCGCCUUUGCAUGGAUUAGCAUGGGAUAAUGAAAUAGGACUUUGGUGCUAUUUUGUUGGUUUCGAACACCGAAGUAAUGAUUAACAGGGACAGUCAGGGGCACUCGUAUUCC